ACUCAACUCAAAACAAAGUGAGUUGAAAUUGUAUAUACCUUUGUAGAUUCCUCUUUGCAUAAGCAAAGGCUAAUCACCCAAACAGAGGGCCUUCAUUCCUUGCAUCUAAAAUCUAUGGAUUUGGAUGGAAGAAUAGGUUUCUCCAAGUUCCCAAAAUUGAGAACCUCUAAGUCUCCACACCAAGGAGAGAUUGGAGAAGAAAAUGAGUGACCUUGGAGUAGUAGUAUGGCUAGAUACACCCUCCAAGGGGCCGGCCUCUUUAGAGAGAAAUGGAGAGACAUGUUCUCUCCAAUUUUCUCCAAAACAAACCCCUUAAUGAAUUUUAGCUAUAAAGUCAUAUUUAUACCUUAAUUCAUUGGAGUGGCAAACUUGUAAAUAAGUCCAAGUUCACUACCCUUCUCUAAAUGGCCGGCCCUAGGGUUUUGUUUGGGCUUUUGGGCCUUUGUGAAUUAAGUUGUCAUACAACUUAAGUCAAUGGGCUUGACGUUCGAAGCCCAUUGGGCCUUAAGGUCCAAAACUAUCCCCGAGGUCUUUAACGAACUUAUUCGUUUGAUUAAUUAACAUAUUAAUUAAUCCUUGCCAUAAAUAAUUAAACCAUUUAAUUAUUCUUACUCAUCUCCAUUGUUUCUUCAAUCUUCACCUUACACGGUGUAUGAUCCAUUAGGUUCCUUUUAGCGAGGCAGUGGGCGAUUAAAACCAUUUUACAUCGAUUGUGAAUUGAAACUUACUUUCAAUUCUCCCUUUAGUGAUUACACACGUUUAGGGCUUCCACAAACCAUGAGUGACACCUAGCAGCAUAUCAUGGUUACCCAAGCUAAUCAGAAGAGGUGGAGAACCUAUUCAGUUUAGGAUUACAAAUGCAAUACGGUCUUUCUCUAAUCUAAUACUCUUGACCACAUUGUUUGGUUUGAUAGUUUAUUUAUUCAUGUCUAUCCAAUGUGAUUUGUGUGCUUAUAUGAUUACCUUGAAUGUGAUUUGGAACGCUUUCCUAAAUCUCAUUCAUACUCUGAUCAGAGGUUCUAAAUCAUAUCAUAGAGUAUUCUCCCUCAAACGGUUUGAAGGUUAGAGAUCCCUCGUUGCGCAUUCACUUGCCUCCAUGACUAAGUGGCGUAACCCCAACGAUGCCGUGGACACCCCGAUGGGGUGACUUUGACAUAAUCAAAGAUCAAGGACUUAACCACAAGACAACUGUGAUGCCUCAGGUCAAAGGACUACUUUGCAUUAUCCCAACCAUGAGUUCUCAUGUGACAUGAAUAUGAGAACUCUUCGUUGAUCGUGUUCAGUGAACUCAUUCUCUAUUGAGCGCCUACGUACUUGACUUGAUGUCACACACACCAAUGACUCGAGACUAGUCACUCUCCCUGAGAGAAGACACAGUACGUACUGAUCUUAACGGACUGUCAAUGCCCAAUUGGCAAUCCUAUGAUCAGGAACAUUUAGGAUGUGUCUACGAAAGAAUGGUCUCAUGAAUCUAACUUCUUUAGAUCGUAUUCUCCCAAUCACAUAUUCCUUGGACUUUAUCGUUUAAGCAUAUAACAUUUAUAUGAGACGGCUCAAACAAUAAUCUUUGCCCUUUAUAGUUAAACUAGUUUAGUUUAACAUGUGAAAUGUCCGUAAAGUAUCAUCAUAUGAUUGGUUUUAGGGCACAUUUCCAACAAAUUUCAAUAUAAUUUAACUAAUUUAUAUUUUUAAAAAAUAAAACGAAGAAAAUACCUUCCAAAUCGUUAUCCACCAAGCGCUAGUCACACACAAUAUCCCUAUACACAACAAAUUUUACGGUGUUAGUAUGAAUUGACAUUGAUAAUUUUUAAAUGAAAUAACAAAAACCCUUACCAAACACACCGAAAUAGCUCGAUCAACCUAGAGAAGUUAGAGAUUCAGAUGGACAAAGUAUUAGAGGAAGAAAUUGAGAGAAUUGGGAAUAAUAGAUCCCGAAUUGAAAAAAAAUGAAGGGAAAAAAGGUGCAGAGGCGAAAUCUACAGUUUUCUGCCUUUGCAGCUAAAGUCACGUUAUAAAGAUUACUUUGUGGAAUAAUCACUUUGCACAACGAACGUAGAAUUCAUUGCGCAAGUUACUUUUGCGCGACCAAAUAUAACUUUGUCGUGCAAGUGUCAAUUUUUUUAUUGCAAAAUUCUCUUUGUCGUUUUCUUUUUAAUUUAAUAAUGUAAACUAUUUGACAACGAAUACUAUAUUCUUUGCGCAAGUUGCAUUAUUUAUUUUCCGUUUUCUUUCUAACUAAUGUAAAUUUUUCUUUAUCCAAUUAAAAUUAUCAAACCAAAUUAUAUAUUACAAAAAUAUUUAUUAAAACUAAUUUAUUAACAAAAAUAUAUAUUAUAACUAAUGUAAACUUUAAGUCGUCCAUGUAAAAUAAAUUUUAAAAAUAAAGUCCAACAUAAUGUUUUAAUAAAUCUUAUUUAAUAAAAAAAAAAAAAAAAACCAAAUUAAGUUCACUCUUCCUCUGGGCCAUCAGCAGCGGCAUGGUCAACUCACGCACGCUUUGCAACCCGCUAUACAUCAAACUUCUACUGCCAGAACUGCAUCUUGAAAAGGUCUUCCACAUACAUCCGCUGCUUCUCAUCGGUUUCAUCAACAUCCUAAACAAUCUGUAAUGGCAAUAAAAUUAAAUUAGUUAUUGCAAAAAUAUUAUUUUUAAACAAAAACAAUUUCACAUUCUUUAAUACAAACUUAAUGAUAACUUCUGCACCAUGGAGUUCUUCAAGUCCACAUGCACCAUUUUCAAGACUUAAACUUGGUAGAACACUUCUUUUGCACCUAUCCCCCCAUAUCGAACCUAAGUUUGACGGACGCUUCAACCGAACUUUUGUCAUCAAACGAGGGCAAACGCUUACGUUGGUACCUCUAUAUUGUCAACACAACUUUCUUCAUUUUCUCUCCAACCACAAAAAUUUAAAACGUAACGGCCUAUUAAAACAAUAAUUUAAACCAUAUCAAAUGUAAAACAAUUAAUUCCACAAUAAUUUUUUUUUUUACCUUUCCCUUCAUGAGAGCCUUUUCCCUUCCAACUUUUCAUUGAGUCUGAAACCAAAUUGGCCAUCUUUUGAAACAAAACCUUUGCAAAAUAGGGUUUUGAAACUCUGUUUAUAUAAAACCCAACACACUUUACGCAACGAAUCCUUGGUCGUGCAAAGUGUGUUAUAAAUGCGCGCUAUAAAUGGGAGCAUUUAAUGCGUGGCUGAUCGUCUUCAGCAACACUUUGCUUGACGAAUAUGUAGAAAAACUUGAUGCGCAAACUUUUGGCCAAAUUUUAUUUACUCGCCUUUUCUUGCGUGACGAACAAUAGUAAUCGUCGUGCUAAGUCCUCUUGCGCGACGAAACUAUUCAUCGCACAAAGUUUUUUUUCUUUGAAUUCUUCCGAUGUUUGUGUGACGUAAGUAUGUUUCCAUCAUGCAAGGUGCGGCCAUAUGAUAGGAGCAUAUUUAUGCGACUUAGUUAGCUUGUUCUUGUGCAUUUACGUUGUAUUUCCUUAGUUAUUUAGUGUUUAAAGUUAUUUUUGUGUGUUUUCAGACUCUAAGUACAAAGUAUGCAAGAUGAUGCAUUUUGGAGGCCUUUGGAGCAGUUUCGGGCUUGGAAUGGAUAGCAAAUGCAUGGGCCAAAGUGGAUGGACGAAUUUGAGAACUAAAGAGGCCAAGAAUGUGAAGAAUUAUGGUCCAAAAGAUGAAGAACUCAGCCCAAAAUUCUGUCACCCCAACUUGCCUUCAUUACCGUGCAAAAUAACAUAGAAUUCCCUUUGGAUUCCCAUGCCAUGCUUGAUCACUCUUGUCCCCUACAUAAUUUCUAAUUUCAUGCUUCAAUUCAUUUAAUUAUUACACUCAAUUGCUUGAUACCUCUUGUUCCCUUCACCCAUCAGAUUUUAUACACCCUUUACAUCCAUUACAUGCACCAAUUGAUGCUCCAUCAUUCACAUUUGGAAUCCAAUGCCAUGUGCAACACAUGUUGCUGCACCUUUGACCCAUUUGUUGACACAUUUCACCUCCCUUUCCAUCUCUAUGCAAUGAACACAAUCAUUCAUGCUCCCUAGCUGCAACACCACUCCAUUUUACCCUUCACACUUUGCAUCAUUACUUGAUUUUCACCCUUGGACCAUUGCACACCACAAAACCCAUUCUUGCCGUGCACUUCAUCCCUGACCUAACCUGAUUCUCUAAGGUUUUUGGGGCCUAUAUAUACAUGUUUACACCCCUUGGCAAAGGGUUCACACUCUCAUAUUCACCAUUCAUCACAGAAAUUUGUCCAUACUCACCCUAGGCAGCAAAACACCCCAAAAACACCAUUCUAGUGCCCAGAAAAUAUCACAGCCACUCCACCUUCUUCCACCCUCUUUGCCGAAGUUCUCCACCACCCUUCCACCAUCAAACACUCAUCUACACUCACCAUAAACCUUUCCAUACCAUUCCCCAUCCAAUCUACACCAUAGAACUACCCAAAACCUGUCCACAAAUCAAUCUGCCACAAGCAAGGGAAAGGAGGAAUCUUGGAUGCACUUGCUGCCAAGUUGGAGCAUUCUAGGUGUUUUCUUUCUUUGGAUUUUAAUGUCUAAUUCAUGUAAUCUUUGUUUUGCUUUAAGUAUGAUUGGCUAAUUUCGUUUUGGCUAAGGGUGGAUUCAAAACCAUGAUCAUAUAUGUGAAAUAAGUUGAUUACUUUCAGUUAUCGUUGUAUAAGUCGUGAAUACAAUUUGCUUAACCAUUUGAUUUAGAACUUAUUCUUGUAUGUUGGUUGAGAGUGCACGCUUAAUUUGCAUGCUUGAAUUUGAUGCUAGGAUAUAAGUUUGUUUCACCUAAUCGUUAUGAAUUUAUAUUCGUAAGUAGUGAAGGUCGCUAGUCACGAUCGUGUUAAGUAGAUUCCUGGCAAGAGUAUCAUGCUUUUCAUAGUUACGAAUGCCUUGUCGAUGCUUAUGAUUUCCAAAGAACGUAAUGAUUCUAACUUGUGUCUUUAUCAUGCUGUUCAUAUAAAGAACUUGUUGGGAAUAAUUUGUUUGCGAUGCAUAUUCAUCCAAUUCAAUGAUUCUAGGGAAAUCUGAAGGUUAAUUUAAGCGGACCUAAUUAACUUGGAGUGUCGAGAUUCAUAACUUAUUAAAUUGAUAACUGAAAAUUGAUUUAGGUUGCAUAUAUUUCAUGUGUGGAGAAGAACCCCUUAGCCAUUCCAUCAUCCAUUGAUUAUUCAUAACUUUGUGUUACAAUCUGUUUCUAUUACAAUCUGUUGCAAAUUGGGCAGAUGGCGGAGUUCAUAGGCCAGCUUCGAGAAGAAGGGAAACUACCUAGCUCCACCAUUGCCAAUCCAAAAGGAGGCUUUGAAUCUGCCAAGGCAAUUACAUUGAGAAGUGGAAAAGAGGUAGGAAUUGAUCCAAAACCAUCCAAAUCAAGCCAAAAAGAGGAUGAGAAGUUGCAAUUCGAAGAGGAGGAACAAGACAAGGCCACGGCAAUGAAGGAAACAACCUUGCCGCAGCCUCCUACACUCCCUAAUCCGUCCAACACAGGUAAGAUAGGUCCAAUUUCUGUUACUUCUAACCUUAUUCCACCCAAUGUACCUUUUCCUCGCAGAUUUAUGCAAUCAAAGAAGGAAGAAAGUGACAAGGACAUUCUUGAGACAUUUAGGAAGGUUCAAGUCAAUAUCCCACUCUUGGAUACAAUUAAACAAGUCCCAAAGUACGCCAAAUUCUUGAAAGAACUUUGCACAACAAGGAUGAGGAUUUCGAACAAGGAGGUGGUAAAGGUAAGUGAGAAUGUUUCAGCCGUCUUGCAACGAAAACUGCCCCCUAAAUGCAAAAAUCCGGGUAGUUUUACAAUUCCUUGUGUUAUAGGCAAUACUCAAUUUGAACAUGCCAUGUUACACUUAGGUGCAUCCAUUAAUGUCAUGCCCUAUUCAAUUUAUGCAUCUAUGAACUUGGGUGAGUUGAAAAAUGUGAUUAUUCAAUUAGUCGAUCGAUUUAAUGCUUAUCCAAAAGGAGGUUUGGAGGAUGUUUUGAUGCAGGUUAAUCACUUAAUCUUUCCGGCUGAUUUCUAUGUGCUUGAGAUGGAAGAUUCGACCCAUUCCUCCUCAUUGCCAAUCCUACUUGGAAGACCAUUCAUGAAAACAGCCCGCACCAAGAUAGAUGUGUUCAAGGGGACGUUAUCCAUGGAAUUUGAUAGGGAAGUUAAUGAUUUCAAUCUUUCUGAAACUAUAAAGUAUCCUAGUGAUGAUCAUUCUUGUUUUUCUAUUGAUAUAAUUGAUUAAUUGGCGUAGCAAUACUUUGAAGAUUUGAAUGAGGAUGCCCUUGAAACAACCAUUACGAAAGGAAUAGGCCUAAAAAACAACGAGGCAGAAUCUAUGCUCACCCACAGCAAGCAUGAAGACAUCCAUGUCGUGCACCCUAGUGAAGAAAUAGUUGAGAUGGUGGCUGCCCUAGAAUCAUUGCCACAACAAAAUGGUAAGCUUUUGAUCCACUUUCAAGUUCAGUUUCGACUAAUAAAAUGCUACCCUCAGUAAUUCAAGCACCCUCCCUUAAACUUAAACUGUUUCCAAGCCAUUUGAAGUAUGUUUUCUUGGGAGAACAAGAGACUUUGCUCGUCAUAGUUGAUAGGAGCAUAUUUAUGCGACUUAGUUGGCUUGUUCUUAAGCAUUUAUGUUGUUUUUCUUUAGUUAUUUUAGUGUUUAAAGUCAUUUUCGUGCAAUUUCAGGUUUAGAGACGAAGUAUGCAAAGAAGUGCAAAAUGGAGCAUUUUAGAGCAAAAUUGAGCUAGAAUGGAGUGUAUGCUAAUGGAGCACAAGGAAUGGACGAGUUUAAAGGUCAAAGGAGCUUAAGAAAUGAAGAAAUGACAGUGAAGAACAAAGAAUUCAGAUUUGGAAACAAAGUUUCUAAAGUUGGAAGUUUCUAUUCUUGGAGGUUUCCAUUUUCGAGAGUUUCUAUUCUUGGUUUUGGGCUUUUAGAUGACUUAAACCCUAAUUCCUUGUGGACCCUAACCCUAGCCGCACCUAGGCCUCUAGAAUAUCUGAUUUCCUUGCCUUGCAAGGCAUUCUAGAAGGCCCAUCUCUAAACCCUAACCCUAGCCGCACCUUAGGCCUUAUUCCCACUAAAAAUCUGAUUGUUUUAACCUAAUUUCUGGUGGAUUUGGGCUUCUAGAAACCCUAAUCUGAUUACCCUAGGGUUUUGGAUGCCUAUAUAUACUCAUUAUAACCCCUAGAUCAGAUGACCACCUCUCAUACACAAUCAUUCACGCCAGAAAUCUGCCCUUGCAUUCUGCCGCACCUUCCCAUCACCAAAAUCCCAAAAUUCUGCCCAAAAAUCAUCCCUAGCCGUACCCCCAUCAACCCUAAACCUUUCCCUACCAUUCCCCAUCCAUUCUACACCCUAAAUACUACCCAAAACCUGUCUAAACUUCUCUGCCGCAGCAAGGAGGAAAGGGAAAUCAUUGAUGAUCUUGCUGCCAAGUUGGAGCCUUCUAGGUGUUUUCUUUCUUUGGGUUUUAAUUUCUAAAUUUAUGUAUCUUUGCUUUGCGAGUAUGAGGAACUAAACCCCCCUUGGCUAGGGGGGGAUUCGAAACCAUGUUUAUGCUUGCUAUAUGAUUUGAUUACUUAUAAUUGCGUUUCAUAAGUUGUGAUUUCAAUUUGCUUAUCUAUGUGACUUAAAACUUAUUCUUGUAUGUUGAUUGAGGGUCGACACUUAGUUUGCAUGCAUGAAUUUGAUGCUCGGAUAUAAGGGAAUUUCACCUAAUCGUUAUGAACUUAUAUUCACAAGUAGUAAAGGUUGUUGAUCACAAUCCUGUUAAGUAAAUUCUUGGCAUAAGUUUCAUGCAAUUCAUAGUUACGAGUGCCUCGUCAAUGCUUAUGGUUUUCAUAGAACUUAAUGAUUCUUGCUUGUAUCUCUAUUAUGCAAUCAUGUAGGGGACUUUGUUGGAAGUAUGCCCACAAAGCCACUCAUUUGAUGUAAUAGCUUUUGGAAUACUUAUUGUAUUAAACUUUUAUAUGUUUAAUGAAGGGCAAAGCUUAUUGUUAAUCACUAUUUAUUGUAUCAUGUGUUUAAGCAAUAAGGGAAUCCAAGGAAUGUAUUUGUUCUAAGAGAGAAGUGAUCUAAUGAGUUAGAUUAUCGAGACCUCUCUCUUAUGAUCAUUCCUAAAACGUUCUUAGCCAUAGGAUUGCCAAUUGGGCAUUGACAAUCCGCUAAGGUUAGUAUGUGUUAUGUUGACUCAAACGUGAGUAUGAACUAGUCUCAAGUCAUUUGGUGUUGGACACUGAGACAAACACAUAGGUGCUCGAAAGAGUAAUCGAGUACACUGAACGUCGAUCAAAAGAGAGUUCGAACAUACAUGUCAUGUAUGAACUCUAAAGUUGCAAUAUGCAAAGUAGUCCUUUGACCUGAGGCAUCAUAGAUGUCUAAUGGUUAGGUCCUUGAUCUUUGAUCAUGUCAAUGGCAUUCCUUCGGAUUGUCCACGGCAUUGUUGGGGUCAAGCUAUCUAGUCAUGUAGGCAUAUGAAUGCACAACAAGGGAUCUCUAACCUUCCAUGGUGGAAGGAGAAUACUCUAAGAUAUGAUUCUAAACUCUUUGGCCAAAGCAUAUGAAUAUGACUUAGGAAGUUUGUUCCAAAUCAUAUUCAAAGGAAUCAUAUAGGAAAGUAUCACAUUGGAUAGUAGACAUGAAAAAACAAACUAUCACUUAAACAAUGUGAUUAAGAGUAUUGUAUUAGAGAAGGACCGUAUUGCAUUGUAGUUGUAACUGGAUAGGUUCUCCAAACCAAUUCUACUUAGCUUGGGUAACCAUGAUAUGCUGCUAGGUGUCACUCAUGGUUUGUGGAAGCCCUGAAGAUUAGCAAGCACUAAUCUUAAGGGAGAAUUGAAAUGUGUGGUUUCAAUUCACAAUCGAUCGUUAAGAGUAACAUCGCCCACUGCCUCGCUAAUUGGAACCUAAUGGAUCGCACACCACAUAAGGAUGUUAGUGAAGAAAUUAUAUGAAAUGGAUAAGCAAUUAAAUGGUUUAAUUGAAGAAUGGUCAAGAUUAAUUAAUUAGUUAAUUAAUUAUACGAAAGGUUCGUAUUGGGCUUAUAUGUUGGUUUUGGGUUUCGGGGCCCAAAAGUGUUUUGGUCCACAAGGCCCAUUAUGUUUAAGUUGUAUGACAACUAAAACAAAAUGGGCAAAUUAGCCCAAUAACAAGGAGAGGCCGGCCAUUAGGGUGAAUGGGCAAGCUUGCUUAAUUGCAAGUUUGCCACUCACCAAAGAAAAAUGUUAUAAAAAGCAACUUUAUAUAGCAAUUUUCUCAUUAGGGUUUUCUAAUAGAAAUUGGGUGAAACAUUUUUCUCUCUUUUUCUACAUAGAGGCCGGCCACUUAGAGGAUUUUUACUAGCAUCUAAAAUCUCUCUAAGUCAUCCAUAUCAUCUUCACAAUAUACAACCUUGGUGAAGAGACUUAGAGACAUCAAGCUUUUGAUGUUUUUGGAGAACAAAUCCUUUUUUCCUCUAAUCAUCAAAGGAGCACUAAAGGGAGGAAAACACAAGGAGGAUUCAAGGAGCUUGGAGGUGACUUGAAGGCCCUCCACUUGGGUGAAUCCCUUGUGUAAACAAGGAUGAGCUUCAAGGGUAAAGAAUCACUAAAUCUUUACUUCUCUUUAAUUUUGUUAAAGAGUUUAUUUUGGUUCACCAUAUACUAGGCUUUGAAAGUCAUGGGUUUUAUGAAUUGUUUUUGGAUGCAUGCCUACUUUAAAGUGUUGAUAGCUUGCAUGUGUAUUCAAAUGUUCAUACUUGUUCUUAGCUAGGACAAAAUUUUUCCUUCAGACUUGUGGGGAAUGCUUUGGGUUGUCGUAUGCAAUCAUCCAAUUCAAUAACGUUAGGAAAAUCUGAGGGUUAAUUUAAGCGGACCUAAUUAACUUGGGGCAUUGAGAAUUCAUGGGUUAUUGAAAAGCAAUUGGAAAUCGUUUUGAAUGCAAGUAUAACAUGUGUGGAGAUGAACCCCUUAGCUAGCUUUCUAUCCAUUCAAUUCAAUCAAAUUCGUUUUAAAAUCUGUUUUGAUUUACAAGUUUAUGUUUUGUUUUCAAUUUCGUAAAAACCAAAUCCCCCUUUGUUUUCAAGUGUCAAAUUAGUUAGAGAGUGUGUUAGUUUGUGUUUUUAAGUGUUUUGAGUCAAGUUAAAACCUAUUUUCGUCAAAAUCUUGUUUAGAGUUCAAAACUGCCCAGAAAGUGGUUUUAAGGCAGUUUUGAGUGUUUUUGUGUUAUUUUGAGUCUUUUGGUUUGUUUUGGUGUUUUAAGUUAUAGUUUUACAUUCUUUGAGUCUAGUUUAGUGUUUUAAACUUUGUUUUUACGUUUUUGAGUCAGUUUUCAAGUGAUUUAGCAAUCCCUCCUAAUCCCCGGCCUAGAACGAUCCCUACUUACAUACUUACUACAAUUGAUAAAAAGAGGGUUAAUUUGAGUGCUAGUUAAUAUCAUAUCAAAUUUUGGCGCCGUUGCCGGGGGAUUAGCAACUUUGCUAAUCCCUUGGAUUGUUAUUUUCGUUUUUCUUAUUAGAUCAGAUUCUUAUGUUAUUUUGUUUCUUGUUUUAGGUACUUGUUUAUGACUCGGAGUUCUAAUCCGGUUCACGAACAUAUUUUAGACUUUGACGACGAUUUUGAGCGUGAGUUGAGACGAAAGAGGAAGAACCCGGAACCUAGUGAAUCAAGUGCAGGUUCCGAGUCCGUUUCUGAAUUUGAAGAGGAAGUGGAAGACAUGGCAGCGGACAACCGAACGAUCAAGGAGCUUUCCGCUUCGGGAUUGGAUAAUGCCGCACCUCUAUGUAUCCAAUACCCUAGGGCGGCUCCGGACAAAACUGCCGAGUUCGAAUUGAAGUCAAGCUUGUUACAUCACAUUCCGAAGUACCAUGGGCUGUCCAUGGAAGAUCCGAACAAGCACUUGAAGGAGUUUGAAGUCGUUUGCUCAAGCAUGACUCCGGUGAACGUGGAUGAGAGCAUCUUGAAGAUGAAGGCCUUUCCCUUUUCUCUCCUAGACAAGGCGAAAGAUUGGUUGUACGAAUUGGCUCCCGGAACUGUCACAUCAUGGGAGAGCAUGAAACGAGCUUUCUUGGAGAAGUUUUUCCCAACUUCUCGAGUCAUCCUCCUACGUAAAAGGAUAAGUGGCAUUCAACAAGAUGAAGGUGAAUCCUUUCCUACUUAUUAUGAACGUUUUAAAUCUCUUGUUGCUUCAUGUUCACAGCAUCAAAUGAAGGAGGAACUACUUCUACAAUACUUCUACCAGGGACUUCUACCAAUUGAACGUCAAAUGUUAGAUGCCUCAGCGGGAGGAGCAUUGGUGGACAAGACCCCUACGGCUGCAAAGAUGUUGAUUGCUAAUCGAGCGUUGACGCUCAACAAUACGAAGGUGUUGGACAAAGGAGCAUGCCACGGCAACAUCAAGUCAAUGAGGUAAGUGCCAUAACCGAACUUCAAAAUCAAAUGGCUAACCUUACUACGUUGCUUUCUCAGGUGGUGGAAGGUCCAAAAAUCAAACCCGUAGCUUCUUGUGGCGUAUGCUCCAUGCAAAACCACAAUACGGACAAGUGCCCACAGUUGAUCGAGAAUGGAGGGUGGGAGACACUCAAUGCCGUGGGAUAUGGCAACCAAUACCAAUCACGAGGUGAUCCGUUUUCCAAUACUUACAAUCCCGGUUGGCGUGAUCAUCCGAAUUUCAAAUGCCGAGACCCACAACAAGGCCAACAACAAAGCGGAUUUAGGCAACAACCCCAGGGUUUCUAUCAAAAGCCGUUGGCACCACCACAAGCCCAAGCACAACCUGCCCAAAGCAAUGCAGGUAAUUCAAGUGAUAAUGAUAAGAUUUUUCAAUUACUUAUUACCUUGACGCAGGAAGUCCAAAAUCAAGCCAAAGAGAGGCAAAUCCAAGACAAGAGGGUGGACAACUUGGAGAAGCAAGUGGGACAAAUUGCCGAGUUCAUAGGGCAAUUUCGUGAGCAAGGAAGGUUGCCUAGCUCAACGGUGGUCAAUCCGAAAGGUGGAUUCGAAUCUGCAAAGGCUAUCACGCUAAGAAGUGGGAAAGAAGUAGGAAUCGAGCCAAAACCAUCCAAAUUUGGCCCCAAGGAGGACGAGAAGUUGAAAAUUGAAGAGGAAAACCAAGCAAAGGCCACGGCAAGGAUUGAGCAAUCAUUGCCGCAACCACCCAAGCAUUCCAAUUCGGCCAACACAGGUAAGAAAGGUCCAAUUCCAUUUAAUUCUAAUGUUAUUCCUCCGGAUGUACCCUUUCCUAGCAGAUUUUUGCAAUCCAAGAACGAAGAGGAGGUAAAAGAUGUUCUAGAGACAUUUAGGAAAGCUCAAGUCAACAUACCCCUUUUGGAUGCAAUCAAGCAAAUCCCGAAGUAUGCCAAGUUCUUAAAGAAGCUUUGUACAACAAGGAAACGUUUGAUAGGAGCAUAUUUAUGCGCCUUAGUUAGCUAGUUCUUAUGCAUUUUAGUUAUGUUUUCUUAGUUUAAAGUAGUCUUUUAAGUUACUUUCAUGUGUUUUCAGGUUCAAAGGGGCAUAAUACAUAAAAGAUGGCAAAAUGGUGCAUUUUAGAGCAAAAGUGAGCUUGGAUUGAAAAGUACAUGCUUGGAGCACAAGGAAUGGACGAGUUUGAAGGUCAAGGGAGCUUAAGAAAUGAAGAAAUGAAGGUGAAGAACAAAGAAUUCAGAAUUAGAAACCAAAGUUUCUAAAGUUGGAAGUUUCUAUUCUCGGAGGUUUCCAUUUGUGAGAGUUUCUAUUCUUGGCUUUGGGCUUCUAGAUGACCCAUCCUUACCUCUUGGACAAGGCCGCACCUUCCUAGCCCAAUUCAUCUUGGAUCCUCACUUAGGCCCAUUGCAUAUUUCUGACUUCUAAGCCUUUGCCGCACCUAGGCCCCAAAAUAUCUGAUUUCCUUGCCUUGCAAGGCUUUCUAGAAGGCCUAUCCACACUCCCACCAAAUCUGCUGCACCCUAGCCCUUUUCCCAUGCAAAUUCCUAUUGUUUUAACCUAAUUUCUGGUGGAUUUGGGUUUCUAGAAACCCUAAUCUGAUUGCUAGGGUUUUUAAGUGCCUAUAUAUACUCAUUCUAACCCUUUGGCCGAACUUACCACUCCCCAUCUAAUUCAUUCACGCCAAAAACCCUAGUUACAUCCUUGCCGCAGCCUUUCACCCUAAAACUUCCAUAUUUCUGAUUUCUACACCAUUGCCGCACCAUCCCCUUCCCCAAACCAUUCCUACAUCCUUCCAUAACCAUUCAUCCACCUUGUGCAGCCACCAAAUGAGGAGAAAGAAGGAGUGCCGUGCAGUCCAAAGGAAGGAGAAGCCUUGCACAUGCAAUCUGCCAUUAGUGGAGUGUUUGGAGUUCUUUCUUUCUUUGUUUCUGUUUUCAUGUUUAAUUUAACUUGCCUUUCAAUUAUGUUAGACAUGUGGAACUAAUUUCUUUUUAGUUAGAGGUGAAUUUGAAGCCAUGGACAUAUGUUUUAUAUGAUUUGAUUUCUUCCAAUCAUGAUUUCAGAAAUUGUGAAUGUGAUUUACUUAUCUAUUGGAUUGAUAACUUGUUUAUGUAUGUGGUUGAGGGUCGACACUUAAUUUGCAUGCCUAAACUUGAUGCUAGGAUAUAAGAGAAUUUCACCUAAUCGUUAUUAACUUAUAUUCAUAAGUAGUGAAAGUCGCUAGUCACGAUUGUGUUAAGUAAAUCCUAGGCAAUAGUAACAUGCGUAUCCCAUAGUUAUGAAUGCCUCGUCAAUGCUUAUGAUUUCCAUUAAACUUAAUGAUCUUUGAUAUGUGUCUCUAUCAUGCGUAUUCCAUAGUUAGGGUCCUUGAUAAGAAUAAUUUGGUUGUAAUGCGUAUUCCAUUCAAUUCAAUGAAUCUAGGGAAAUCUGAGAAUUAAUUGGUGCAAUCUAGUUAAUUUGGGGCAUUGUCAUUCAUGGUUUGUUGAAAGAGUAAUUGGAGAUCAAGUUGUAUGCAUAUGUUCAUGUGUGGAUAAGGAACCCUCUAACUAGCUUCUCACCAUUCUAUUUAAUCACAAUCUGUUUUGCUUUACAUUUGUUUUUAAAGUUUGAGUUUUAAAGUUUUAAUUUCGUUAAAAUCAUUCCCCCAUUGAUUUUAAAGUGUUAGAUUAGUUAGAAAUCCAUUUAGUUGUGUUUUUAAGUGUUUUGAGUCAAGUCAUAGUCCAAAUUCGUCCAAACUAGUGUUAGGUACUCAAAACUGCCCAGAAAGUGGUUUUAAGGCAGUUUUGAGCCUUUUAGUUGCUGUUUUGAGUUUUUGGUUUGUUUAGGUGUUUUAAACCCUAGUUUUGCAUUAAUUGAGUCUAGUUUAGUGUUCUACAUUAUAUUUUUAUGUUCUUGAGUCAGUUUUACAUUGAUUAGCAUCCCUAGUUAAUCCCCGGUUAGAACGAUCCCUAUUUGCUCAUAUACUACAAUUGUCAUCCAUAGGGUUUAAUUUGUGUGUCAAUUUAAUUCUCACAUCAACGUUUUUGGGAGAAAGAAGUGGUACAUGUAAGUGAGAAUGUCUCCGCCAUGUUGCAACGCAAACUACCCCCCAAAUGCAAAGAUCCGGGUAGUUUUACAAUUCCUUGUGUCCUUGGUAACACUCGCUUUGAUUCCGCCCUGUUAGAUUUAGGUGCAUCUAUAAAUGUCAUGCCAUAUUCAAUUUAUGCAUCUAUGAAUUUAGGCGAGUUGAAAAAUGAUGGCGUGAUUAUUCAAUUGGCCGAUCGAUCUAAUGCCUAUCCAAAGGGAGUUUUGGAAGAUGUUUUGGUGCAGGUAGACCACUUGAUUUUCCCGGCAGAUUUCUACGUGCUCGAUAUGGAGGAUACAGGAUUCUAUAGACGAUUCAUCAAGGACUUCUCAAAAAUUGCACAACCCCUUUGCCAUCUCCUUAAAAAAGAAGUGCCAUUCAUGUUCAAUGAGGAAUGUGAGAAGGCCUUCAAACACCUCAAGGAAUUGCUUACUUCGGCCCCUAUCAUAAUUCCACAAGAUUAGAGUCUUCUUUUUGAGCUCAUGUGUGAUGCCUCAGAUUAUGCAAUUGAAGCUGUUUUAGGCCAAAGAAAGAACAAGUAGCCACAUGUCAUCUAUUAUGCUUCCCGGACCUUAAAUGAUGCUCAAUUAAACUACUCCACCACUAAAAAAGAACUCAUUGUUGUUGUGUUUGCAUUAGAUAAAUUUCGUUCUUAUUUAAUUGGCACUAAAGUCAUUGUUUACACUGACCAUGCAGCUUUGAAGUAUUUGCUCACAAAGAAAAGAACCCAAACCAAGGCUUAUUCACUGGAUGCUUCUUCUCCAAAAGUUCGAUAUUGAAAUUCGGGACAAGAAAGCGAGUGAAAACGUGGUGGCUGACCACUUGAUCCGUUUGGUUCAUAAUGAGGAGUCAUUACCUAUCCCAGAAACGUUCCCUGAUGAGCAAUUGCUGUCCGUUAAGGUAAGUGAACCAUAAUAUGCAGAUUUGGUGAAUUAUUUGGUGUCUAAACAAGUCCCAAGUAUCCUAAACAAGCACCAACGUGAUAAACUUAAAAAGGAUGCACGAUUUUAUGUUUGGGAUGACCCAUAUUUGUGGAAAUAUUGCUCUAAUCAGAUUGUACGUAGGUGUGUGCAUGGGUCCGAAUUUCAUUCAAUUUAACUUUUUGUCACACAUAUACGUGUGGUGGCCAUUUUGGCACACAACGCACAGCACAUAAGGUUUUAGAAUGUGGAUUUUAUUGGCCUAAUGUCUUCAAGGAUGCUAGAACUUUUUGUAUUACUUGUGAUGUUUGGGGCAUUGAUUUCAUGGGUCAUUUUCCUUCCUCACAUGGUUUCCUUUAUAUUUUGCUUGCUGUGGAUUAUGUGUCAAAAUGGGUGGAAGCAAAAGCCACCUGUACUAGUGAUUCUAAAGUGGUUGCAUAUUUCAUUAAAACUAACAUAUUUGCAAGGUUUGGAAUGCCAAGAGUUCUCAUAAGUGAUGGAGGUUCUUAUUUUUGCAAUCGAACCAUCGAGGCGCUGCUCAAGAAAUAUAAUGUCACACAUAAGGUUUCAACACCUUAUCACCCUCAAACAAGUGGCCAAGCCGAGGUUUCGAAUAGGGAAAUCAAGCAGAUUUUGAAGAAGACCGUGGGACCAACUAGGAAAGAUUGGAGUAUGCAUUUGGAUGAUGCACUGUGGACGUAUCGUACAGCCUACAAAACACCCAUUGGCAUGUCCCAAUUUUGGCUCAUCUAUGGCAAACCAUGCCAUCUUCCCGUGGAAUUAGAGCACAAGGCGCAUUGGGCUAUCAAAACAUUCAACAUGGACAUAGAUACGGCUGGCAUUCAUAGGAAGCAUCAAUUGAAUGAACUUGAAGAGAUUAGGCACGAGGCGUAUGAGAAUGCUCGAAUUUACAAAGAAAAGACCAAGGCAUUCCAUGACAAGAUGAUUCGUAGCAAGACAUUCUCCAUUGGCCAGAAAGUGUUACUUUUUAAUUCCCGCCUUCGUUUGUUUUCGGGUAAGUUACGUUCUAAAUGGAUUGGCCCGUUUGUUAUUACUAAUGUCUUUCCCUAUGGUUCAGUCCAAAUCCAAAGUUUCAAGACCGGCCACGAAUUCAAAGUGAACGGGCAUCGUUUGAAGCCUUACUACGAUCUUUUUUAGGAGCAUGUGGUGGAGGAACUACCCCUCUAUGCCGUGGGGUCCAAUUAAGCUUAAGAUGAGCUUUCGUCCGGCUGCAAGACGUUAAAGCAAGCACUUCUUGAGAGGCAACCCAUGCAUUCAACUAGGGAACGAUGGAAUUCUCACUCCUAAACCAGAUUUGCAUCCCUAAAUCCUUCUCUUUACUGCAUUUCUUUUGCCAUGCUUGUCAUGCUUGUUCGUUGUGUUAUUUGCAUGCUUAUGUGUGAGUCUUUGUUUGCAACAUUGAGGGCAAUGUUUGGUUUAAGUGUGGGGGGGGGGGGUAAACAAGUGUUUUUGUUGCAAAUUCAUGGGUUUGUAUCACCUAGCACCACUAGAGUUGUUUCUCACUGUUUUUUAGUGUUUUUAGUGUAUUUUGAGAUGUUUUAAUGUGUCUUGAUAGAAAAAUAUGAAAAUUUGAAAAAAAAAAAGUUAGAAAACAUUUUGAAAAACCUAAAAAAAGUGUUUUAGAGUUGUUUUUGUGUGUUUGUGCCUUAGGGUACCUUCCAACACAAUGAUGAGGAUUCAGUUUUUAAUUGCAUGACUGUUAAAAAAAGCUACAAACAUGGAUGGAAGUUUGAUAAGCUCUUUGGUUAAUACUUGAUUAUAGUUGACGUUUACAAAUUCACAUGUAAUUACAAAGGAAAAAAAAUUCCAGUUUUUGUAACAUGCUUGAAGGAAGGAACUCAAAAUAACGCUACAACCUUGAGAGACUUGUGCCUAAACUUUAUUUGGAGAGUUAUUAAUCUGUGAUGUUUUUGUUUUCUAAAGUCGUUGCAUGAUCUCAUUAUUUCUUUGCUUGGUUGCUACUUAGACUGUGUUUUUCAUCAUUUUAAGUUCCAAAUACUAAAACUCAUGCCCGUUUCAUUCAAAGCUUAAAAUUGAGUGCAUAACAUAUAACAAGAUGAAGUUGUUUAGUAGUUACCACUAGAGCCAAAAAGCCUUCAUCCCAUGCAUUUGUUUUGUAGGUUUAACCCAUUUGAGCCUUGUUUAGCCUAUUUUCUUUGUUAGCCACAUUAUCCCUACCUAGCCUAGAAUAGGACUAUCCAUACCCUUGUUCUUAAACUGUAGUGGAGCAUAACUUAGAAGGAAUUCCUUUUGAUGAACAUUAUGCAGAAAAAAAGUGUGGGGGAAGGGUUUUCAAAGUGUGUUUUGUGUACCAAAGUGAAAAGGCACAGGUUUGAAAGAAAGAAAAAGAAAAGAAAAAUUUGUGUGAAAAGAAAGAAAAUGAGUUGAAAAUAAGUGAGAAUGAACUCAUAAGUAUUGGUUGUUGAAGAAAGGGUCCAAAAGUGUGAAUCUGGCCCUAAGUGUUUUGUUAAUCUUCCCUUUGUGCUUAAGUGGAUUUUUGCAUUCAAAAGUGAAUUCUAAGUGUCAAUUUCAUUACCUUGCUUACUAUUGCUUUAAGAACGUUUGUCUAUCCUUACCUUUGGUUGUUAGCCAAUACCCUAGCCCCGUCACAAACCUUAGACUUCAAUCAUGGGUGUUAUGUGUUUUAAUCUGUGGAGUUUGAAAUUGAUAUGAGCAUAUGGAAUCCCUGGUUCUCGCUUCUAUGUUGUGGCAUUCUAUUCAUGAGAUCAUAUAUAUAUAUAUAUAUAUAUAUACACACACACACACACACACAUGCAUUAAUAAUUCCAGAAAGUGCCUUCUUUGAUUAUAACAUAUGUGAGUGACUAGUCUACAUGUUUACAUCAAUCUUCUCACAUAUACCUAGUAUUUGGAGUGUAGUCAGAAAAUCUAUGUGAAAAUAGAGAGUAUAUUUGGUGCGGAAUUGAGGGAAUUCUCUAAGGCAUGUUACUACAUUCAAAACCUAUGUGAGUGGUGACUAUGAUUAAGUGUGUGCUCGAGGGUAAGGAUUGCUAAAAUAUAUGUGAGUAGUGAUUUUUAAUAUGUCAUGUUUCAUUGGAAAUCCCUGAGGCAAACGUUGGAAGGUCUCGGUUAUGUUUUGUUUGUUUCGUUUGUUUUGUUUUGCUCGAGGACUAACAAAAGCUAAGUGUGGGGGAAUUUGAUAGGAGCAUAUUUAUACGACUUAGUUAGCUUGUUUUCUUGCAUUUAUGUUGUUAGUUCAUAGUUAUUUUAGUAUUUUAAGCUAUUUUCGUGUGUUUGUAGGUCCAAAGAGCUAAAGUAGCAAGAAAGUGCAUUUUGGAGCAUUUUUGGGCUUGGAAUGGAUAGCACAUGCAUAGAGCAAGUUGGAUAGACAAAAUUGAAGACCAAAAGAGGCUAGGAUUAUGUUGAAGUUAUGAAGAAAUUAAUUCAAUAAAAGGAAGGAAGGAUGCAAGCAAAAAAGAAGGAAUGUUAGCCAAGUUACCUUAUUUUGUCCUAAACUUUCCUAAUCCUAAUUCACCUAUGUUCCAGCUACAAAGGGGUGUCCUAAAUACUUUAGGACACUUAAUUACAUGUUUCUAGAAGACCUAAUCCCUGCCACAAAGGGUGCCACACCUUUCUUCCCUUUCCUUUUUCCCUUGCCGUGCAAGGGAUCCUCCUUUCCUCUUUUCCUACCCUUGUCGCAUAUCCUUUUUCCUUGUGGACUUAGAAUUAAAAUCCUUCUAAAAUAAUUAAAACUUUCUUUUCUCUUUCCCUUUAAUUAUGCCGCACCCUAGCCUUAAUUCCCUAGGGUUUUGACAUACUUGGCUAUUUUUAUUUAAGUUCCUUGUCGCAGCCUUCCUUCAACCAUUCAUUACCAUUCAUACUUUCAGCAAUUCUCCCAUACAAUUCAUCACUCAAACCUUCACCCAUACCUUGUGUCGUAGCAAAGAACAAGAAGGAGGACCCUUGGACGUGCUUGCCAUUCAAGUUGGAUUGCUGGAACGUUUUUAGGUGUUUUCAAUCUUUUGUUUUCAAUGUCUAUGUUUAUGUAUCUUUGUUUUGCGAACAUGAGGAGCUAAACUCGUUUUAGCUAGGGGGAAAUUCAAAGCCAUGAACAUGUUUGCAAUAUGAAUUGAUUACUUCCAGUUAUGAUUUUAUAAAUCAUGAAUGCAAUUUACUUAACUGUUUGAUUCAAAACUUAUUCUUGUUUGUGGAUUAAGGAUGCAUACUUAGUUUGCAUGCAUGAAUUUGAUGCUAGAAUAUAAGGGAGUGUCACCUAAUCGUUAUGAACUUAUAUUCAUAAGUAGUGGAGGUUGCUAGUCACAAUCGUGUUAAGUGAUUUCUUGGCAAGAGUAUCAUGCUCAUCAUAGUUACGAAUGCUUUGUCAAUGUUUAUGAUUUUUAUAAAGCUCAAUGAUCUUUGAUUGUAUCUUUAUUAUGCUAUUCAUGUAGGGAACUUUUGAAGAAUAAUUUGGGUUGCCGAUGCAUUAUCCAUCCAAUUCAAUGACUUAAGGAAAAUCUGAGGGUUAAUUAGUGUUGUUCACGGUUAAUCAGGGGCAUUGAGGUUCAUGGUUUAUUGGAAAAGAAAUUGGAAAUCAAUUUGUAUGCAAGUGCCAUGUGUGGAGAAGAACCGUCUAGCUAGCUUAUCAAUUGUAGUAAGUAUGUAAGUAGGGAUCGUUCUAGGCCGGGGAUUAGGAGGGAUUGCUAAAUCACUUGAAAACUGACUCAAAAACGUAAAAACAAAGUUUAAAACACUAAACUAGACUCAAAGAAUGUAAAACUAUAACUUAAAACACCAAAACAAACCAAAAGACUCAAAAUAACACAAAAACACUCAAAACUGCCUUAAAACCACUUUCUGGGCAGUUUUGAACUCUAAACAAGAUUUUGACGAAAAUAGGUUUUAACUUGACUCAAAACACGUAAAAACACAAACUAACACACUCUCUAACUAAUUUGACACUUGAAAACAAAGGGGGAUUUGGUUUUUACGAAAUUGAAAACAAAACAUAAACUUGUAAAUCAAAACAGAUUUUAAAACGAAUUUGAUUGAAUUGAAUGGAUAGAAAGCUAGCUAAGGGGUUCAUCUCCACACAUGUUAUACUUGCAUUCAAAACGAUUUCCAAUUGCUUUUCAAUAACCCAUGAAUUCUCAACGCCCCAAGUUAAUUAGGUCCGCUUAAAUUAACCUUCAGAUUUUCCUAACGUUAUUUGAAUUGGAUGAUUGCAUACGACAACCCAAAGCAUUCCCCACAAAGUCCCCUACAUGAUUGCAUAAUAGAGAUACAAGCAAGAAUCAUUAAGUUCUAUGAAAACCAUAAGCAUUGACGAGGCACUCGUAACUAUGAAUUGCAUGAAACUUAUGCCAAGAAUUUACUUAACACGAUUGUGAUCAACAACCUUUACUACUUGUGAAUAUAAGUUCAUAACGAUUAGGUGAAAUUCCCUUAUAUCCUAGCAUCAAAUUCAUGCAUGCAAACUAAGUGUCGACCCUCAAUCAACAUACAAGAAUAAGUUUUAAUUCACAUAGAUAAGCAAAUUGAAAUCACAACUUAUGAAACGCAAUUAGAAGUAAUCAAAUCAUAUAGCAAGCAUAAACAUGGUUUCGAAUCCCCCCCUAGCCAAGGGGGUUUAGUUCCUCAUACUCGCAAAGCAAAGAUACAUAAAUUUAGAAAUUAAAACCCAAAGAAAGAAAACACCUAGAAGGCUCCAACUUGGCAGCAAGAUCAUCAAUGAUUUCCCUUUCCUCCUUGCUGCGGCAGAGAAGUUUAUAACAGGUUUUGGGUAGUAUUUAGGGUGUAGAAUGGAUGGGGAAUGGUAGGGAAAGGUUUAGGGUUGAUGGGGGUACGGCUAGGGAUGAUUUUUGGGCAGAAUUUUGGGAUUUUGGUGAUGGGAAGGUGCGGCAUAAUGCAAGGGCAGAUUUUUGGCGUGAAUGAUUGUGUAUGAGAGGUGGUCAUCUGAUCUAGGGGUUAUAAUGAGUAUAUAUAGGCAUCCAAAACCCUAGGGUAAUCAGAUUAGGGUUCUAGAAGCCCAAAUCCACCAGAAAUUAGGUUAAAACAAUCAGAUUUUUAGUGGGAAUAAGGCCUAAGGUGCGGCUAGGGUUAGGGUUUAGAGAUGGGCCUUCUAGAAUGCCUUGCAAGGCAAGGAAAUCAGAUAUUCUAGAGGCCUAGGUGCGGCUAGGGUUAGGGUCCACAAGGAAUUAGGGUUUAGGUCAUCUAAAAGCCCAAAACCAAGAAUAGAAACUCUCGAAAAUGGAAACCUCCAAGAAUAGAAACUUCCAACUUUAGAAACUUUGGUUUCCAAAUCUGAAUUCUUUGUUCUUCACUUUCAUUUCUUCAUUUCUUAAGCUCCUUUGACCUUCAAACUCGUCCAUUCCUUAUGCUCCAUUAGCAUACACUCCAUUCUAGCUCAAUUUUGCUCUAAAAUGCUCCAUUUUGCACUUCUUUGCAUACUUCGUCUCUAAACCUGAAAUUGCACGAAAAUGACUUUAAACACUAAAAUAACUAAAGAAAAACAACAUAAAUGCUUAAGAACAUGCCAACUAAGUCGCAUAAAUAUGCUCCUAUCAAAUUCCCCCACACUUAGCUUUUGCUAGUCCUCGAGCAAACAAAGAAACCAAACAAAACAAAAACACAAUCUAAACCUUCCAACAUUUGCCUCAGGGAUUUCCAAUGCACAUGACAUGUAAAAAAUCAUCACUCCCACAGAUUUUAGUCAUCUUCACACUUAAACACAUACUUAAUCAUAGUCACCACGUACUAGUUCACAUUUAACCAAUUAAAACAUGAUUUUGAAUGUAGUAACAUGCCUUAGAGAAUUUGCUCAAUUCCUUACUAGAUAUGCACUCAAUUUUCACACAGCUUUUCUGACUACACACCCUAUACUAGUUAUAUGUGAGAAGAUUGAUGUAAAUAUGAAAACGAAUGCUCACAUAUAUGUAUAACAAAGAAAGCACUUUUUGGAGUUAAUAAGCACGUUUAGAUAUAAUCUCAUGAAUGGAAUGCUACUACUUAGAUGCGAGAACCACAGUGACACCAUAUGCUCAUACCAAUUUUAAACUCCACAAAUUGAAACACAUAACACUCAAGAUUAAAGUCAAGGGUUGUAACGGGGCUAGGGGAGUUGGUUAACAACGAAAGGAUAGGGAAAACAAACGUUCUUUAAGCAAUAGUAAGCAAAACAAUGAAAUCGUACUCAGAAUUCCCAUUAGCAUGCAGAAAUUAACUUUUAAACACAAAGGGAAGACUCAACAACAAUUAGGGCCGAAUUCACUGUUUUGGACCCUUCCUUCAACAAACAACACUUAAGAACUCUUUUUCACAUCUUUUCAACUCCUUUUCAUUCUUUUCACAACUUUUUCUUUCUUUUUUUUUUCUUUUUAUUUUCCCACGAAAUUUUUCUUUUUCUUUUCUUUUUCGUGCCUCAUUCAGACUUUGGCACACCCACAACAAAACUCACUUCCCCCACACUUGUUUUCUGCCAACAAUGACCAAAAGGAAUUCAUUUUGAGUCAUUCAUUACUAUGCUUCAAGAACGAAGGUAUGGAUGGUCCUAAUCUAGGCUAGGUGAGGAUAAUGUGGGUUAACGAAGAAAACAUAGGCUAAACAAGGCUCAACGGGGUUAAAACCUACAAAAACGACUGCAUGGAAUGAAGGCUUUUUGCUAUGGUGGUAACUACUAACUUCAUCUUGAAUAUGUGUUAUGUAAUUCAAUAACAUGUUUUGAAUGAAAUUGGCAUGAGUUCUAGCAUUUGGAACUAAAUGAUGAAACGCCUUCUAAGUAAUAACCAAGCAAAGAAUAAUGAGAUCAUGCAACGACUUUAGAAAACAACAAUGCACAGAUUUUAACUCUCCAAAUAAACGUUUAGGCUCAAGUCUCACAAGGUUGUAGCGUUAGUUUGAGUUACUUCCUUCAAGCAUAUUACAAAAACUGAUUUUUUUCUUUGUGAUUAUAUGUGAAUUCGUAAACAACAACGAUGACCAAGCAUAAGCAAAAGAGCAUAUCAAACUUCCAUCCAUGUUUGUAACUUUCUUUAACGGUCAUGCAAUUAAAAACCAAAUCCUCAUCAUUGUGUUGGAAGGUACUCUACGACACAAACAAACAAAAACAACUGUAAAACGACUUUUUUUUUUGGGUUUUUUCAAAACUUUUUUCAAUUUUUUCUUGAAUUUUCGUAUUUUCUGGUAAAGCCACAUAAAAACACAUCAAAACUUUCUAAAAACACUUAAAAACAAUGAAAAACAACCUUUGAAAUGUUAGGUGGUAAAAUCCUACGAAUUUUGCAACAAAAACACUUUGUUCACCCCCCCACACUUAAACCAAACAUUGUCCUCAAUGUUUUAAACAUAGACUCACACAAAAACAAGCAAAUAACACAACUAGCAAACAUGACAAAUAUGGCAAAGUAAAAGCAAUAAAGAGUAGGGUUUAGAAACGCAAAUCUGAUGAUGAUGCCGGAGCUUCCUAGGUCCUCUUUAUUUGCAUGGGUUGCCUCCCAAGAAGCGCUUGCUUUAACGUCUUCCAGCCGGACGAUGCUCCAUUGAAGGUUUAUGGAACCCCACGGCAUUGAAGGUUGUUUCCACAAUCUGACCUACGAAAUACUUCAUCUUUUGGGUCCUUGAAUGGGAUAGGAUAAUGAUCCUUUCUUAUUGUCAUGUUUUGCUUCUCGAAAUCAACACGAACUCUCCCACCACGUUGUCUUCGAUUUGGUACCUGCACCAUACAAGGUAACAACCUAUUAGUUGAAAUGGGAAUCGAAAUUGGAAUAGAUGGCUUACCUUUGUACGGCAAAGAAAUGGUAGCACUCUGGACAGAUGCACAAGGAGUGCACUCGGCCAGAUUUGGUGACUUCAGGGGUGGGGCCGUGCUCCCCUUGUUGUUCACUCCAAUUCCUUCCUCGAUGGUAGUUCGAGGUACUUUCGUCUUGAUGAGUGUUGAACAUUCCUGCCCUAUAUUUGCAAUUACAUUAAUGGCACAACAAGAACGAACAACAUUAGGAGUCUCAAUAAAUUCAGAAACUUUAAAACAAAUCAUGUCACCACCAAAUGCCAUAGUGACUUCUCCUUUGGCCACGUCAAUCUUGGUUUGAGCCGUUUUCAUGAAAGGUCGGCCAAGCAACAGUGGUGGUGGUGGAGAGUGGCCUGUAUCCUCCAUAUCGAGCACGUAGAAAUCUGCCGGGAAAAUCAAGUGGUCUACCUGCACUAAAAACAUCUUCCAAAACUCCCUUUGGAUAGGCAUUAGAUCGAUCGGCCAAUUGAAUAAUCACGCCAUCAUUUUUCAACUCGCCUAAAUUCAUAGAUGCAUAAACUGAAUAUGGCAUGACAUUUAUAGAUGCACCUAAAUCUAACAGGGCGGAAUCAAAGGGAGUGUUACCAAGGACACAAGGAAUUGUAAAACUACCUGGAUCUUUGCAUUUGGGGGGUAGUUUGCGUUGCAACAUGGCGGAGACAUUCUCACUUACAUGUACCACUUCUUUCUCCCGAAAACGUUUCCUUGUUGUACAAAGCUUCUUUAAGAACUUCGCAUACUUCGGGAUUUGCUUGAUUGCAUCCAAAAGGGGUAUGUUGACUUGAACUUUCCUAAAUGUCUCUAGAACAUCUUUUGCCUCCUCUUCGUUCUUGGAUUGCAAAAAUCUGCUAGGAAAGGGUACAUCCGGAGGAAUAACAUUAGAAUUAAAUGGAAUUGGACCUUUCUUACCUGUGUUGGCCGAAUUGGAAUGCUUGGGUGGUUGCGGCAAAGAUUGCUCAAUCCUUGCCGUGGCCUUUGCUUGGUCCUCCUCUUCAAUUUUCAACUUCUCGUCCUCCUUGGGGCCAGAUUUGGAUGGUUUUGGCUCGAUUCCUACUUCUUUCCCACUUCUUAGCAUGAUAGCCUUUUGCAGAUUCGAAUCCACCUUUCGGAUUGACCACCGUUGAGCUAGGCAACCUUCCUUGCUCACGAAAUUGCCCUAUGAACUCGGCAAUUUGUCCCACUUGCUUCUCCAAGUUGUCCACCCUCCUGUCUUGGAUUUGCCUCUCUUUGGCUUGAUUUUGGACUUCCUGCGUCAAGGUAGUAAGUAAUUGAAAAAUCUUAUCAUUAUCACUUGAAUUACCUGCAUUGCUUUGGGCAGGUUGUGCUUGGGCUUGUGGUGGUGCCAACGGCUUUUGAUAGAAACCCUGGGGUUGUUGCCUAAAUCCGCUUUGUUGUUGGCCUUGUUGGGGGUCUCGCCAGUUGAAAUUCGGAUGAUCACGCCAACCGGGAUUGUAAGUAUUGGAAAACGGAUCACCACGUGAUUGGUAUUGGUUGCCAUAUCCUACAGCAUUGAGUGUCUCCCACCCUCCAUUCUCUAUCAAUUGGGGGCACUUGUCCGUAUGGUGGUUUUGCAUGGAACAUACGCCACAAGAAGCUACGGUUUUGACUUUUGAACCUUCCACCACCUGAGAAAGCAACGUAGUAAGGGUAGCCAUUUGAUUUUGAAGUUCAAUUAUGGCACUUACCUUAUUGACUUGAUGUUGCUGUGGCAUGUUCCUUUGUCCAACACCUUCGUAUUGUUGAGCGUUCAACACUCGAUUCGCAAUCAACAUCUUUGCAGCCGUAGGGGUCUUGUCCACCAAUGCUCCUCCCGCUGAGGCAUCUAACAUUUGCCGUUCGAUUGGUAGAAGUCCCUCGUAGAAAUAUUGUAAAAGAAGCUCCUCCUUCAUUUGAUGCUGUGGACAUGAAGCAACAAGAGAUUUAAAACGUUCGUAAUACGUAGGAAAAGACUCACCUUCAUCUUGUUGAAUGCCACUUAUCCUUUUUCGUAGGAGGAUGACUCGAGAAGUUGGAAAAAACUUCUCCAAGAAGGCCCGUUUCAUGCUCUCCCAAGAUGUGACAGUUCCGGGAGCCAAUUCGUACAACCAAUCUUUCGCCUUUUCCAAGAGAGAAAAGGGAAAGGCCUUCAUCUUCAAUAUGCUCCCAUCCACGUUGAUUGGAGUCAUGCUUGAACACACCACCUCGAAUUCUUUCAAAUGCUUGUUAGGAUCCUCCAUGGACAAACCAUGGUACUUCGGAAUGUGGUGUAGCAAACUUGACUUCAACUCGAAUUCCUCGGUCUUUCCUUGGGCAGCCGCUGGGUAUUGAAUGCAUAGGGGUGCGGCAUUGUCCAAUCCCGAAGCCGAAAGCUCCUUGAUUGUACGAUUGUCUUGUGCCAUAACUUCCUCUUCUUCACCCACUCUUGCCGUGGGUUGGUCCUCUUCUUCAAUGGGAUGUUCCUCACGCUCAGGUUCAGGAAUUUGAUCUUGUUGAUUCCUAUUCCUUCUCAAAGUCCUCUCAAAAUCGUCGUCAAAGUCCAAGAUGUGUUCACGAAUCGGAUGAGAACUCCGAGUCAUAAACUAGUACCUAAAACAAGAAACAAAACAAACUCAGAAUCUGGAACGAAUUAAAACAAACUAAAAUAAACAAUCCAAGGGAUUAGCAAUUGCUAAUCCCCGGCAACGGCGCCAAAAUUUGAUAUGAUAUUAACUAGCACUCAAAUUAACCCUCUUUUUAUCAAUUGUAGUAAGUAUGUAAGUAGGGAUCGUUCUAGGCCGGGGAUUAGGAGGGAUUGCUAAAUCACUUGAAAACUGACUCAAAAACGUAAAAACAAAGUUUAAAACACUAAACUAGACUCAAAGAAUGUAAAACUAUAACUUAAAACACCAAAACAAACCAAAAGACUCAAAAUAACACAAAAACACUCAAAACUGCCUUAAAACCACUUUCUGGGCAGUUUUGAACUCUAAACAAGAUUUUGACGAAAAUAGGUUUUAACUUGACUCAAAACACGUAAAAACACAAACUAACACACUCUCUAACUAAUUUGACACUUGAAAACAAAGGGGGAUUUGGUUUUUACGAAAUUGAAAACAAAACAUAAACUUGUAAAUCAAAACAGAUUUUAAAACGAAUUUGAUUGAAUUGAAUGGAUAGAAAGCUAGCUAAGGGGUUCAUCUCCACACAUGUUAUACUUGCAUUCAAAACGAUUUCCAAUUGCUUUUCAAUAACCCAUGAAUUCUCAACGCCCCAAGUUAAUUAGGUCCGCUUAAAUUAACCUUCAGAUUUUCCUAACGUUAUUGAAUUGGAUGAUUGCAUACGACAACCCAAAGCAUUCCCCACAAGUCCCCUACAUGAUUGCAUAAUAUAGAGAUACAAGCAAGAAUCAUUAAGUUCUAUGAAAACCAUAAGCAUUGACGAGGCACUCGUAACUAUGAAUUGCAUGAAACUUAUGCCAAGAAUUUACUUAACACGAUUGUGAUCAACAACCUUUACUACUUGUGAAUAUAAGUUCAUAACGAUUAGGUGAAAUUCCCUUAUAUCCUAGCAUCAAAUUCAUGCAUGCAAACUAAGUGUCGACCCUCAAUCAACAUACAAGAAUAAGUUUUAAUUCACAUAGAUAAGCAAAUUGAAAUCACAACUUAUGAAACGCAAUUAGAAGUAAUCAAAUCAUAUAGCAAGCAUAAACAUGGUUUCGAAUCCCCCCCUAGCCAAGGGGGGUUUAGUUCCUCAUACUCGCAAAGCAAAGAUACAUAAAUUUAGAAAUUAAAACCCAAAGAAAGAAAACACCUAGAAGGCUCCAACUUGGCAGCAAGAUCAUCAAUGAUUUCCCUUUCCUCCUUGCUGCGGCAGAGAAGUUUAUAACAGGUUUUGGGUAGUAUUUAGGGUGUAGAAUGGAUGGGGAAUGGUAGGGAAAGGUUUAGGGUUGAUGGGGGUACGGCUAGGGAUGAUUUUUGGGCAGAAUUUUGGGAUUUUGGUGAUGGGAAGGUGCGGCAUAAUGCAAGGGCAGAUUUUUGGCGUGAAUGAUUGUGUAUGAGAGGUGGUCAUCUGAUCUAGGGGUUAUAAUGAGUAUAUAUAGGCAUCCAAAACCCUAGGGUAAUCAGAUUAGGGUUCUAGAAGCCCAAAUCCACCAGAAAUUAGGUUAAAACAAUCAGAUUUUUAGUGGGAAUAAGGCCUAAGGUGCGGCUAGGGUUAGGGUUUAGAGAUGGGCCUUCUAGAAUGCCUUGCAAGGCAAGGAAAUCAGAUAUUCUAGAGGCCUAGGUGCGGCUAGGGUUAGGGUCCACAAGGAAUUAGGGUUUAGGUCAUCUAAAAGCCCAAAACCAAGAAUAGAAACUCUCGAAAAUGGAAACCUCCAAGAAUAGAAACUUCCAACUUUAGAAACUUUGGUUUCCAAAUCUGAAUUCUUUGUUCUUCACUUUCAUUUCUUCAUUUCUUAAGCUCCUUUGACCUUCAAACUCGUCCAUUCCUUAUGCUCCAUUAGCAUACACUCCAUUCUAGCUCAAUUUUGCUCUAAAAUGCUCCAUUUUGCACUUCUUUGCAUACUUCGUCUCUAAACCUGAAAUUGCACGAAAAUGACUUUAAACACUAAAAUAACUAAAGAAAAACAACAUAAAUGCUUAAGAACAUGCCAACUAAGUCGCAUAAAUAUGCUCCUAUCAAAUUGAUAGGAGCAUAUUUAUGCGCCUUAGUUAGCUAGUUCUUAUGCAUUUUCGUUAUGUUUUCGUCGUUAAAGUAGUCUUUUGAGCUACUUUCAUGUGUUUUCAGGCUUAAAGGGCAUAUGACAUAAAAGGAUGCAAAUUGGAGCUUUUUGGAGCAAAAUGGAGCUUAGAUUGGAAAGUACAUGCUUGGAGCACAAGGAAUGGACGAGUUUGAAGGGCAAAGGAGCUUAAGAAAUGAAGAACAAAGAAUUCAGAAUUAGAAACCAAAGUUUCUAAAGUUGGAAGUUUCUAUUCUUGGAGGUUUCCAUUUUCGAGAGUUUCUAUUCUUGGUUUUGGGCUUUCUAGAAGCCCUAUCUACAAACCCUAACCCUAGCCCACUAAUUUGCCGCACCUAGGCCUUUAAAAUUUCUGAUUUCCUUGCCUUGCAAGGCAUUCUAGAAGCCUAAACCCUAGCCCACUAAACCAGCCGAACCCUAGGCCUUUUCCCUUGCAAAAUCUGAUUGCUAGGGUUUUUAAGUGCCUAUAUAUAUUCAUUCUAACCCUUGGCCGAAGAGAGAUCACCCCCCAUAUCAUCCAUUCACUCCAGAAAAUCAUUCUAAACCCUUGCCACAACCACCAAUCCCAUUCUCCCUAGUUCUAAGUCCUUGCCGUGCCUCCCUAGUCCUUUUAACCCUUCUACCCUCUUCCAUAACCAUCCAUCCACCAUAGCCGUGCCUUCCCACCACCAUCACCACCUUGUGCAGCCACCAAAGGAGGAGAAAGAAGGAGUGCCGUGCAGUCCAAAGGAGGAAGACACCUUGCACAUGCAAUCUGCCAUUAGUGGAGUGUUUGGAGUUCUUUCUUUCUUUGUUUCUGUUUUCAUGUUUAAUUUAAAUUGUUGUUCAAUUAUGUUAGACAUGUGGAACUAAUUUCUUUUUAGUUAGAGGUGAAUUUGAAGCCAGUUAGAGGUGAAUUUGAAGCCAUGGACAUAUGUUUUAUAUGAUUUGAUUUCUUCCAAUUAUGAUUUCAGAAAUUGUGAAUGUGAUUUACUUAUCUAUUUGAUUGAUAACUUGUUUAUGUAUGUGGGUUGAGGGUCGACACUUAAUUUGCAUGCUUAAACUUGAUGCUAGGGUAUAAGGGAAUUUCACCUAAUCGUUAUUAACUUAUAUUCAUAAGUAGUGAAAGUCGCUAGUCACGAUUGUGUUAAGUAAAUCCUAGGCAAGAGUAACAUGCGUAUUCCAUAGUUAUGAAUGCCUCGUCAAUGCUUAUGAUUUCCAUUGAACUUAAUGAUCUUUGAUAUGUGUCUCUAUCAUGCGUAUUCCAUAGUUAGGGUCCUUGAUAAGAAUAAUUUGGUUGUAAUGCGUAUUCCAUUCAAUUCAAUGAAUCUAGGGAAAUCUGAGAAUUAAUUGGUGCAAUCUAGUUAAUUUGGGGCAUUGUCAUUCAUGGUUUGUUGAAAGAGUCAUUGGAGAUUGAGUUGUAUGCAUAUGUUCAUGUGUGGAUAAGGAACCCUCUAACUAGCUUCUCACCAUUCUAUUUAAUCACAAUCUGUUUUGCUUUACAUUUGUUUUUAAAGUUUGAGUUUUUAAAGUUUUAAUUUCGUCAAAAUCAUUCCCCCAUUUAUUUUAAAGUGUUAGAUUAGUUAGAAAUCCAUUUAGUUGUGUUUUUAAGUGUUUUGAGUCAAGUCAUAGUCCAAAUUCGUCCAAACUAGUGUUAGGUACUCAAAACUGCCCAGAAAGUGGUUUUAAGGCAGUUUUGAGCCUUUUAGUUGCUGUUUUGAGUUUUUAGUUUGUUUAGGUGUUUUAAACCCUAGUUUUGCAUUAAUCGAGUCUAGUUUAGUGUUCUACAUUAUAUUUUUAUGUUCUUGAGUCAGUUUUACAUUGAUUAGCAGCCCUAGUUAAUCCCCGGUUAGAACGAUCCCUAUUUGCUCAUAUACUACAAUUGUCAUCCAUAGGGUUUAAUUUGUGUGUCAAGUUAAUUUUCACAUCAGCCAAAAUCUGUUUAAGUCUUUAGUUUACUUGUUUUACCUCAAAUUCGUCCAAAACCCAAUCCCCUUUGCUUUGUUAAGUCAAAUUAGUUAGAAUAUGUCCACACUUGUGUUUUUAAGUAUUUUGAGUCAAGUAAAAGCCAAAUUUCAUCCAAAUAACUCCCUAGAAUCUGUUUUAAGUCUCUUUGAUUGUUUUGUGCUAUUUUGAGUUUUUUUAGUUUGUUUUGAGUUCUUUGAGUCUAGUUAGGUGUUUUCAAGCCUAGUUUUUAUAUUUUUGAGUCAGUUUUAAGUAGAUUAGCAAUCCCUCCUAAUCCCCAGCCUAGAACGAUCCCUACUUACAUCUUUACUACAAUUGUCAAUAAGAGGGUAUAAUUUGAGUGCUGUUUUAUUUCACAUCAGUUUAUAAGAAGAGUAACUGGAAAUCGAUUCGUAUGCAUAUGUGUCAUGUAUGGAGAAGGACCCUCUAGCUAGCCAUUCACCUUUAAAACACCCUAAAUUCGUAGCAAUUAGUUUGUUUUAUGCAAGUAACUUAGGUUAAGCAUUUGAUUCGUCAAAAACAAAACCCCCCUUUAUAUUUCGUGUUCUUAGUUUAGAAUCUGUCCAGUUGGUGUCUUUUUAAUGUUUUGAGUCUUUUUAGUUCAAAUUUGGUCCAAAGUCAUCCUUAGCGUUAGUUUUGAGUCAAUUUAUUUGUUUUGUGUAGUUUUGAGUAGUUUGAGUCAGUUUUGAGUCAUAAGAUUCUUGUUUAGUGUUUUUAAGUCUAGUUAAGUAUAAUUGAGUCUAAUUUGAGUAGAUUAGCAGUCCCUCUUAAUCUUCGGCCUAGAACUAUCCCUACUUGUCCAUACUACAAUUAUCAAAAAGAGGGUUUAAGUUUGAGUGCUAAUUUAUAUCACAUCACCCAACUGACGACGACAUCAACAAUGUCGCUGAGCAACAGCUAGAAUCUUCGAUGGAAAUUGGUGUGGAAACACUCCAAGAUACUAAUCUUAUCCAAGAACCAUUUCAGAUAGGAGUAUUUUCAAUUGAAAUACCGAUUCAAUCAAUCACUAUUGACCUCGGUAAUCUUCCGCGCUAUGAUGGUGACGUACCCAUCGAUGAUGAUGAGGAAUUGGACACUGAAAAUGAUGUGACGAAUAUUUCUUCAGAAUCAUUUGUUGUGAAUUUUCUUUGCCUCGAUACUAGCUGAAUAAGAAUAGUAACUGUAAUUAUAAUGUCUCGUGAGAAUUUUUUAUUAUUAGUAUCUGCAUUCAAUCGAUGCUGUAGAAACUAGAUGAUAAAGAUAAUGAUAAAGGCUGAUUAAACUGAUCCUACAUCCUAGUGAACAAAAAGGCCAAAAUACAAUGAAAAAUUAUCGCAUUGAACCCACGUAUGGUAAUAUUUUGAAUGGUGUAAAAUAAAGAAAACUAAAUUCUGCUAUUGGAUAUAUUAGCAAAUAUGUUAAGUUUUUUUCCAGUAAUUGUGGGACAAAUAAACCAGCAAACAAGUACCGUAUUUUUCUGCGAUGUAGUAAUUAUUGGGUUUCUCUCUUACAAGCAAUGCACUUGUUGAAUCACACAAGAAAAAUAUAAGAGAAUGAGAAUAAGUAGAAGUGUACAUGAUAUGUAAGUUUCUCUUCCAAACACAUUGCAUUAUAUUUUUCCUUUUGCGUUUCAUCAUUCUUGCAUCAUGUGAACUUAAAAACUGAAGAUACAAACGUAAGAAAGGUACUAAUCGUCUUCUUCUCUUUUUCUUCAAUCUCGUGGAUACGUAAUGGGAAUACAUGAAGCAUUUGGGUUACAUAAAACACUUAGAUUUCAUUGUUUGUCGAAGGGGCCACACACAGUGCCGCAUAUUUUGUACAUAUGGUUAGACUAUGAGUAUAAGGGUAGGUGUAGUUUGGCCGGAUGUUUGAGUUCAAUCCCACUUUGAUAGUAAAUCGUUGAUUAGCGUCAGGCCCGGCCCAGGCGCAGUGCAACAGGGGCAAUUGUCCAGGGCCCAAAGUUGAAUGGGGCACCCAAAAAACAAAAUCCAAAUAAUUAGGUAUAAAAAAAAAAUUUGUCCAAAGCCCAAAAUAAAGGUUGUAGGCGAUAACUUGUCCAGGUUUUGGGGAUUAAAAAUCAAUAUAACAUAAAGGGUAUCUGAAGGGGACAAGUCGUCCAGGUUUUGGGCAUGGAGGAGAGGCAUAAGAUUCAAGUUUUUCAAAGGGAGCUCCCUCUGCUUGGAGCUUGUCACCCAACUGCCUAAGCCCAAGGUACUACGGAGAACACAAACCCUUCUUAAAUUUCAGCUUAAUUUUUGUGUUCUAAGUCGGAAGCUUCGUUUCUUUUGCUUGAAUUGUUCUGGUUUCUGUUUUCAAAAUUGGGGUUUUUUUGUAGCUAUUGAGAGGUGCAAGCAGCAGAUUUCAGAUGCAACCGCAAAUUACCUGCAUGGACAAUCUAAGUGUUCUGAGCAGACUUCAAGUGAGGGGCAUGUUUUUGAGGAAUUCAUUCCAUUAACACGGAUUUCAUACAACUCCAGAUGCACCACUCGAAGAGGUAUAAAAAAAAGACUCCACCUUCAUCAAUUUUAGUAAAUUUUGUGACUGCCCUUUUGUUUGGUUGCUUAUAAAAUUUGAGGUGAAGAAGUGGAAAGUAUUGAUUUUUAGGUGUAGGGUAAUGGCAGGAGGAGCAAGUUAAAGGCUAUAGUGAUGGAGAUGAAGAGAAAUGGGGUGCUUUUCAGCCUUUCCAAAGGAAAAAAAAAGCAUUGGAAAGACAAAUUGACCAGUGGCUAAAGAACCUUCUUCGGCUCCGGCUACUAGUUCCACCACGGACACCGUGAAUGGAGACAGUGGUGGGAACAACAAGAACAAAGAGAAAGAUGGACAGGGAGACGAAGGCGAAACUGGUCACCGGAGUUGCACCGCCGGUUCUUGCAUGCUCUUCUCUUCAACAACUUGGUGGUUCACAUGGUAUGCAGUUGAGAUUAAUUUAGUGGGAUAUGUUAUUUUAUAUGAUUGGAUGAAUAUGUGAUUGGAUUGGGAUGUAUUGGAUGUGUUUAAUGCGUUCUGCGUAUAUGUGAUUUUCCAUCUUUUUUUAAUCAUAAUUUGGUUGAUGUGAAAAAUUUUGCACAUACAUAUAGAAAUUGGAAGGCAUUUUGCAUGCUACUAGUGAUGAUUUUUUUUACACAUACAUGUGAUUAACCUCGCAAAAUAUUUAUUUUAAACAUAUGUUUACUAAAAAGGGCACAUUUUGGACUUUCGCACUGCGCACCAAAAAACUCAGGACCGGCCCUGAUUAGCGUAACACUCCCUCUUAAAUUUGAGGGUUUAUUAAUUAUAAGUAAAGGGUUAGAAUUAGGGCUUCGGGGUUAGAUUUAGGGUGCUUAAUUUACGGGGUGAGAUUUAGGGUACUUAAGUUAGGUGUUACUUGAUUUUGAAUUAGGGUUCUUAAAUUUGGGUUUCGAAUUAGGAUAGUGAGUUAGAUUUAGGGUUGUAAUGGUUUAUUUCCAAUUUUGUAGGUGUCACAGCUCAUUAGAAGCCAAAAGGCAAUGACGACUACACCUCCUACUACUGCCGCCACUGCUCCAGCAGAGAUGGACCAUAGGCUAGUGAAUCUGGUUGACCCAGUUGGUCCUCCAAUCCCAUAGGCGUUGGCACCUUCAACUUCUUCGGUGGUGUUACGUGUUAGUGCUCGACAUGCUCAACAGUGCCCCCACACUCCAGAGCAGAUGUCACCAUUGGGAUCGACAACCAAUACCUCGGGUCCAUAGCCAAGUAUACUAUCCCAAUUAACUCCUUCAUUCCCAUGUUAACUUAGUUUUGUUAUUUUAGGUUCAGUUUGUUAAGUUAUGUCAUUUAAGGAUUAAAAAGUUAUUAUAUGUUUGUACCAUACUUGACCAAUCCCGAAACUACUAAGCACCGGUCAACGUUAUAUCGUCAAGGACCCAUAAGAGCUUCCCUUCAACCAGGAGGCCAAUCACAAUGUGACACGUGUCGACAUCAGAAGCCAAUCACAGCGCGACAGGUGUCAACAUCAGAAGCCAAUCAUAACACGACACAUGUCAAUGUCAGAACAAAACUAGAAACUCUCUUCUAUAAAUAGGGAUCAUUCUCCCACAAUAAUCUCUAAUGUCAUUUUGUACUAAACUAUUCACUAGAACUCACAAAAGGAGAGCUUGAACCUAUGUAUUUGUGUAAACCCUUCACAAUUAAUGAGAACUCCCCUACUCCGUGGACGUAGCCAAUCUGGGUGAACCACGUAUAUCUUGUGUUUACUUCUCUGUCUCUAUUCAUUUACAUACUUAUCCUCACUAGUGACCGAAGCAACCAAGCGAAGAUCACAAAACCUGACACUUUCUGUUGUACCAAAGUCCUCACUGAUUUUGUGCAUCAACAUUAUAUAUAUAUAUAUAUUAUUAUUGUCAUUGUUCAGAACCCAUUAUUAAACAGUUGUGAUCAUUGUGUUGGAUACAUAUAUUGUUUAUGUUAUUUUCAGGGUUUUGGGAAAUGUUUUAAUUAUAUGGAGGUUUUGCCAAAAUUUUGGUUGGAUUUGUUAUUAGUUUUGGAUUAACGUUAAUUUUUCAUUUCUUUGCAACCAAGAAAAACACCUGAGGACCUUGUCGGCAAUUGAAGAUGGUGAAGGCCACCCGAGUGACCAACGAUUGUAUCACAAUCGAAUAUAAUGAGCGACAUCGGGCCACACCAACGGCGGAGCAUCAUAGUGCAUUGGUCCUUGACAUUGGGCAUGUCGUGCAGACCUUUUGCCCUAUGUGGUGGAAGUCUUGGAAGGCGAUGCUGGAGGAGGUGAAAAACACGAUGUUCAAUCAUUUGUCUACAAGUAUCGUCACAUAAGCUUUUCAGGUACAAUUUAUAUAUUUAUAUUUGUUAAUGUCUUUUAUUACUAAUACUUUCAUAAUAUUUGUUACAUUGCAGACAAACUACAAUUUUAAUAACAUCAACGAGGACAUGUUGGCGUACCUCAAUCGGCUCUUCUCCGAACUUUACAAGCAGUAGAAAGCUGACCUGCACCGGCAUUUCGAGAUGUUUGAUGAUCUGUAGGUCGCUUGCGAGGAGGGUUGCCCAAAGGAGUUCGUGGACCGAGAAGAUAGUUGGGUUUGGCUUUGCUUCAUUUUUAGGAGCCGGGCUAUGUGGUGCAGUUUUAAAUAAGACUUCUUUAAUUUUACUUUUUUAAAUUUUUACUAAUGUUUAUUACUUUUUUUUUCUUUAAAUAUUACAACUAAUACAUUUAUUUUGUGUAUAACAGUAGAAGGCGAAGGCGAAUAAGAUCAAUCGGGAAAAGAAGACUCUUCUCUACCAUUCGGGUUCGAAGUCUUUCCCAUAUAGGAUGGAGGCACGGCGGAAGGUAUAUAUGUUGGAAAUCUACCCUAAAACCAAUCAUAUGAUGAUACUUUACGGACAUUUCACAUGUUAAACUAAUCUAGUUUAAUAUCAAGGGCAAAGAUUAUUGUUUGAGCCGUCUCAUAUAUGAUAGGAGCAUAUUUAUGCGCCUUAGUUAGCUAGUUCUUAUGCAUUUUCGUUAUGUUUUCUUAAUUAAAGUAGUCUUUUGAGCUACUUUCAUGUGUUUUCAGGUUCAAAGGGCAUAUGACAUAAAAGAUGGCAAAAUGGAGCAUUUUAGAGCAAAAGUGAGCUUGGAUUGAAAAGUACAUGCUUGGAACAAGGAAUGGACGAGUUUGAAGGUCGAGGGAGCUUAAGAAAUGAAGAAAUGAAAGUAAAGAACAAAGAAGUCGGAAUUGGCAACUAAAGUUUCUAAAGUUGGAAGUUUCUAUUCUUGGAGGUUUCCAUUUUCGAGAGUUUCUAUUCUUGGCUUUGGGCUUUUGGAUGACCCAUCUUUGCCUCUUGGACCUAUGCCGCACCUAACCCUAACCCUAGCCCACUUAAUCAGCCGCACCUAGGCCUUGUUCACAUGAAAAAAAUCUGAUUACUUACCCUAAGCCCAUGCCGCACCUAAUGUUCUAGAAACCCUAGUUUUUGGUGGAUUUCCUAACCCUAGCCGCACCUAAACCCUAGCCCAUUUGUCUAACCUGAUUUCUUUAGGGUUUGGCUGCCUAUAUAUAUGUGUUUUACCUCCCUUGGCCGAAGAAGACCCUCUCCAUAUUCAGAAAUUCGUCCAAAACCCUAUUUCCCACCUUGCCGCAGCCUUCCAUCCCCAAACUCCCAACUUUCUGCCCAAAUUCAACCUUGCCGCACCAUCCUCUUCCCCAAACCAUUCCUACAUCCUUCCAUAACCAUUCAUCCACCUUGUGCAGCCACUAAAGGCGGAGAAAGAAGGAGUGCCGUGCAGUCCAAAGGAAGGAGAAGCCUUGCACAUGCAAUCUGCCAUUAGUGGAGUGUUUGGAGUUCUUUCUUUCUUUGUUUCUGUUUUCAUGUUUAAUUUAAAUUGUUGUUCAAUUAUGUUAGACAUGUGGAACUAAUUUCUUUUUAGUUAGAGGUGAAUUUGAAGCCAUGGACAUAUGUUUUAUAUGAUUUGAUUUCUUCCAAUUAUGAUUUCAGAAAUUGUGAAUGUGAUUUACUUAUCUAUUUGAUUGAUAACUUGUUUAUGUAUGUGGGUUGAGGGUCGACACUUAAUUUGCAUGCUUAAACUUGAUGCUAGGGUAUAAGGGAAUUUCACCUAAUCGUUAUUAACUUAUAUUCAUAAGUAGUGAAAGUCGCUAGUCACGAUUGUGUUAAGUAAAUCCUAGGCAAGAGUAACAUGCGUAUCCCAUAGUUAUGAAUGCCUCGUCAAUGCUUAUGAUGUCCAUUGAACUUAAUGAUCUUUGAUAUGUGUCUCUAUCAUGCGUAUUCCAUAGUUAGGGUCCUUGAUAAGAAUAAUUUGGUUGUAAUGCGUAUUCCAUUCAAUUCAAUGAAUCUAGGGAAAUCUGAGAAUUAAUUGGUGCAAUCUAGUUAAUUUGGGGCAUUGUCAUUCAUGGUUUGUUGAAAGAGUAAUUGGAGAUCGAAUUGUAUACAUAUGUUCAUGUGUGGAUAAGGAACCCUCUAACUAGCUUCUCACCAUUCUAUUUAAUCACAAUCUGUUUUGCUUUACAUUUGUUUUUAAAGUUUGAGUUUUAAAGUUUUAAUUUCGUCAAAAUCAUUCCCCCAUCUAUUUUAAAGUGUUAGAUUAGUUAGAAAUCCAUUUAGUUGUGUUUCUAAGUGUUUUGAGUCAAGUCAUAGUCCAAAUUCGUCCAAAGUAGUGUAGGUGCUCAAAACUGCCCAGAAAGUGGUUUUUAGGCAGUUUUGAGCCUUCUAGUUGCUGUUUUGAGUUUUUAGUUUGUUUAGGUGUUUUAAACCCUAGUUUUGCAUUAAUUGAGUCUAGUUUAGUGUUCUACAUUAUAUUUUUAUGUUCUUGAGUCAGUUUUACAUUGAUUAGCAUCCCUAGUUAAUCCCCGGUUAGAACGAUCCCUAUUUGCUCAUAUACUACAAUUGUCAUCCAUAGGGUUUAAUUUGUGUGUCAAGUUAAUUUUCACAUCAAUAUAAAUGUUAUAUGCUUAAACGAUAAGUCCAAGGAAUAUGUGAUUGGGAGCAAGGAAGAAAAUAUCGGUAAUAUCGGAAAUAUCGGUAGUCCGAAAACACGGAAAUAUCAAUGGAAAUAUCGGGAUAAUAUCGAUAUCGAUAAAAAUUACAUGGAAACCACGGAAAUUGUAAAAAAAACUUGGAAAUUUUUAAUGAAACUUUGUAGGAUGUUUAUUUAGUCAAUUAUCUAUUAGUUUAUCACAAAAAAUUGGAAGGAAAUGCAUUGCAUGAUGGAUUUAACUGAUUUAAGUUGAUUAUAUAGCGAGCUGGAAAACAUUGUGAGUGUAGAAAAUAUGUAGUAAUUAAUGAAAGAAGUUUAAACACACCAUAAUCAUUUAUAUAUAAUUAAUUAGUACAAUAUUUGGAGGUUUUAUUUAGGAAGUGAAUAAAAUGAUGAAGAAUAAUGUGCCGAAUUUGACACUUUAAAUUUCUUACACAUAAGCAUGCGUCUAGGCGUUGAAGUUCCAAAUUAUAGUAUAUCAAUUAACGAUUGAAAAUCAAUACAUUGAAUAAGACUAAACUUUAAUUUGGAUGCCGAUUAUGUUUUUUCAAGUUUAUAUAAAGUAAAAGAAUUGAAUUUUGAAAGCUAGGAGUGUGUCAAUUGAAUUUUGGCCGGCGUGCAAGGUAUCAAUCUCUUCGUCUCGUCGAGUAGUACAACUUUCCUUUUUGUUUCACUCAAUUUUGUUGAGUAUUGAAAAAGUUAUACUCAUUUGAAUAUUACCCAGUUUCCGGCGACCUCAGUGGCUUUCGAGGAAAUUUCCGGCCAAACUACAAUGAGUCAGAUAUCUUGUGAGGUACCAUUCUCUUCGUCUCUUUGAGGGCUAUAACUUUCCUUUUUGUUUCACUCAAUUUCGUUGCGUAUUGAAAAAGUUAUACUCAUUUGAAUCUUACCCAGUUUCCGGCGACCUCAGUGGUUUUCGAGGCAAUUUCCGGCCAAACCACGGCGAUUUGUCCGGCGUGCAAGGUAUCAAUCUCUUCGUCUCGUCGAGUAGUACAACUUUCCUUUUUGUUUCACUCAAUUUUGUUGAGUAUUGAAAAAGUUAUACUCAUUUGAAUCUUACCCAGUUUCCGGCGACCUCGGUGACUUUCGAGGCAUUUUCCAGCCAAACCACGACGAUUCAGAUGUCGUGUGAGGUACCAUUCUCUUCGUCUCUUCGAGGGUUUAAAGUGAGUGUAAAUUUUCGGCCGAAAUUCUGAUUUUCUCUCCCAUUGGGCGAGUCCCACAUCGCCCAUACGAGGGCAGUGAGCAAGCAAUUUGUCCUAUAAAACCCACAUUCCCCUGCUGAGAAAAGCAUAGCUUGUUCGGCCUUUGGGCUAUGAUCAAGUGAAGUAUGUGUUGAGUUUUCUCAACAUAUUUAAGUAUUUUUUAGUAUUAUGUUGCGAUAUUAUCGAUAAUUUCGAAAAUAUCACGAUAUUAUCGAUAAUAUCGCGAUAUUUUAACGAAAAUCAUUUGGAUAGUUAAAAAAAUAUCGGACCUCUAAAAAAACGAUAAUAUCGGCGAUAUUUAGCCGAUAUUAUCGAUUUUUUCUUCCUUGAUUGGGAGAAUGCGAUCUAAAGAAGUUAGAUUCAUGAGACCAUUCUUUCGUAGACAUAUCCUAAACGUUCCUGAUCAUAGGAUUGCCAAUUGGGCAUUGACAGUCCAUUAAGAUCAGUACGUGUUGUGUCUUCUCUCAGGGAGAGUGACUAGUCUCGAGUCAUUGGUGUGUGUGACAUCAAGACAAGUACGUAGGUGCUCAAUAGAGAAUGAGUUCACUGAACACGAUCAACGAACAGUUCUCAUAUUCAUGUCACAUGAGAACUCAUGGUUGGGAUAAUGCAAAGUAGUCAUUUGACCUGAGGCAUCAUAGUUGUCUUGUGGUUAAGUCCUUGAUCUUUGAUUAUGUCAAAGUCACUCCAUCAGGAGGGUGUCCACGACAUAAUUGGGGUUAAGCCACUUAGCUAUGGAGGCAAGUGAAUGCGCAACAAGGGAUCUCUAACCUUCAAACCGUUUAAGGGAGAAUACUCUAUGAUAUGAUUAAGAAUCUCUGGCCAGAGUAUGAAUGAGAUUUAGGAAAGUCGUUCCAAAUCACAUUCAAGGUAAUCAUAUAAGCACACGAAUUACAUUGGAUAGUAGACAUGAAUAAACUAUCAAACCAAACAAUGUGGUCAAGAGUAUUGUAUUAGAGAAAGACCGUAUUGCAUUUGUAAUCCUAAACUGAAUAGGUUCUCUACCUCUUCUGAUUAGCUUGGGUAACCAUGAUAUGCUGCUAGGUGUCACUCUUGGUUUGUGGAAGCCCUAAACGUAUAUAAUCACUAAAGGGAGAAUUGAAAGUAAGUUUGAAUUCACAAUCGAUUUGAAAGAGUUCUAAUCGCCCACUGCCUCGCUAAAAGGAACCUAAUGGAUCGUACACCGUGUAAGGUGGAGAUUGAAGAAACAAUGGAGAUGAGUAAGAAUAAUUAAAUGGUUUAAUUAUUUAUGGCAAGGAUUAAUUAAUAUGUUAAUUAAUCAAACGAAUAAGUUCGUUAAAGACCUCGGGAUAGUUGUGGACCUUAAGGCCCAAUGGGCUUCGAGCGUCAAGCCCAUUGACUUAAGUUGCAUGACAAUUUAAUGAAUAAAGAUUCACAAAGGCCCAAAAGCCCAAAUCCCUUAUAUGGCCGGCCAUGUGUGUUGAAUUAGGGUUUUUGGUUCUUUAGGUCAUUUAAAGAAGUGACUAUAUAAAGAACUUUAUAGCCUAAAAUUCAAAAAAGGGUUUCUUUUAGGAAAUUGGAGAGAACACAAAGCUCUCCUUUCUCUCUAAAGAGGCCGGCCCCCUUGGAGGGAUUAGCUAGCAAUCCCACUCCUCCAAGGUCACUCAUUUCUUCUCCAAUCUAACCUUAGUGUAGACACUUAGAGGUUCUCAAUUUUGGGAACUUGGAGAACCAUAUUCUUCCAUCCAAAUCCAUGGAUCUAAGAAGCAAGGAAUGAAGGCCCUCUCUUUGGGUGAUUAGCCUUUGCUUAUGCAAAGAGGAAUCUACAAAGGUAUAAAUUUCUCAACUCACUUUGAUUUGAGUUGAGUCUUGGUUCACCAAUCUACUAGGCUUUGAAUUUCAUGGGUAAUGUUUUGUUUUUGAAUGCAUGCAAGCAUGAUUCCGCCUUUUAAUUGUUAAAUGCAUGCUAUAGAUGUUAUUCAAAUGAACAUAUUUUCACAAAAUCAUCCUUCAAUAUAUUAAACCUUUCAUUUUCAAUUUUAAAAUGUCGCUAAUAAUUUUUUUCUGUUUUUUGUUUCCGUACUAACAUUUUCCUUAACUUUUUCUAUUCCAAGGGGGUUCAAAAUUCAUGGAGAUCGGCGUCUUUGCUGACAUUUAUGUUCGACCUGGGGAUGAGUUGACCGAGUCCGUUCAUGUAAUUAAUUUCUUAUGCAUUAGAGAUUUAUACUAAUUAUUUCAAAUUGUUUGCUAUUAAUAUUCCAUGUUUUAUUUCACAGGCGACUGUGGUGGAGAAGGGUCAGUCAGGCAUGUAGAAGUCCACCUUCUAGCUUCCUCCUAACAUGCCGAUCGAGUCUGUGGAUCCCCCUGAGGAUGUUGGGUUUCACAUUCUUAGAGAGAUGUUGAACUAGGCUUUCAGUCGAAUACCAAAGACAUAUUGUCGAAGGAUGGGAAAUGCCAAACGACGAAAGAGUGGAGCCUCUUCAUCCUUGUAGUCGAAGGGUGAGGUUAUGGCUUUGACGCAGGAAGUCGCUGGCCUGAGGAGUGAGCUCGCUUCGUACAAGACUCAAAUGUCAUUGAUUGUACAGGCCCUCAAUUCCUCCAGGAUCUGUCUUCCCGAUUUUUCUGAACCAUCGCCGUCAGAGCCCUUCCACCCCGAGCAUACACAGCAAUCAGACCAGUCGACUUCCGAUUCCGUCCCCAACCCCACCCCUUUCCAGCAGCAAAAUUACCAAGCACCUCCGAACAACUUGCCCAUACAUUAUGCCUUAUUUUUUCAUAGUUUUUUUUUAUCCCGCUUUUUUUAAAAUAAAUUGUUUAUCUAUUCAUUAAUUUGUUUCUUUUUUUUUUGUCAAUUGUACAAAACAUAUUUUUUAAUAACAUUAUAUUUAUUCUAUUUAUUAAAUUCUUUUUUUUAUUAAAAAUAUGUCGUCGUGCAAAACCGCGUGUGUCUUACAUAUUUCAUCGCGAAAACAUUUUUGAAACGAACCAUAGACGUCCCCAAAAAUUUCUCGUCACAAAGCACACUUGUACUCUCUUAUAUCAUGCAAUAAAAACCUUUGUCCGUGUACCUUUCUUGCGACAAGUAGUAAAGCGUCAUGCAAUUGUUUUGAUGCGAAACGAAACUGCACUCUUCAUCAUGCAAGAUCUUUCUUCAGGACCUUUGCAUGACAAAUUUUGCGCAAGGAUUUCUGUGUUGCCAUAGGUUUUGUGUGACCUGAAAAUGCUUUGCACGACAAAUACUCCCUGGUCAAGCGAAGUGUUUAAUGUAGUAGUGAUUUAAGAAAGUACAUUCAACACAUUCUUGUGCAAUCAACAAUGAUUGUGAGGAAGUUAUUGGACGAUAUGGGACGAUAUGGGCUAAGAUAUGGGGUGAUUGAUACUAGGGAUGGGCAAAUACCCAUUGCUUAUGGGUAACUGUGGUUACCCAUCCAUUUAAAUUAAACGGUUACGGUUAUGGGUAACUGUUUAGAUAAAUAAAUGGUUAUGGGUAUAACCAUUUCCCCGUGAAAUUUAAAUGGACGGUUAUGGGUAUUAACUGCGGUCAUAAACAGGUAACCGUUUACCCAUUUAUUUUAUAUAUGAAAAACUAACACAAACCAUGUUCUCGAUCCAAUAAUACUUAGCACCCAAUAAAUUAGCAAGGAAUUCAUUGGUCCUUCUCUCAAUAACAUUGCUACAGGAAUGAUGAUUCUCAUCAUCAAGGAAUUCGCCAAAUUAAUUUAAAUUCCUUGCGUGUAACCGUGAAAUUGACAGAAAUGUCUUCUAGACAAUUUUUGUAACCCAAUAAUACUUUGCAAAUAUUAUAUUUACCUUCAUUGGUAACAGUUAAAAAUAUCGUCCGUAAACUAUUAUUUGAAUUAUUGGAAUGAUAUAAGGACUUAAAAAAUUAAAAUACAGAAAUGUAUGAUGAAUGUACCUAUAACAGUGUUUAAUUGUCAAAAAAAAAAAAGAAAAUUACGACAAUUUUUUUUUUUUAAUUUUCAAGGUGUUAAAAAACAUGUAGAGGUGAAAAUGGGGUAAUGGUUAAAAAAAAAAAGAUAAACGGGUUAAAAAGGGUAAAUGGGUAAAUGGGUAUUAAACGGUUACAGUUAAAUGGAUAUGCGGUUAUGGGUAUGGUUAACCGUUUAUAAGCGGUUAUGGGUAUGGGUAUAACCGUUUAGGCAAUUACCCAACGGGUAAACGGUUAUGCGGGUAUGAGUAUAAACGGUUAUGGGUAAAUAACUGCAGUUACCCGCCCGCCAUAACCAUUGCUCAUCCCUAAUUGAUACUGAUAGGAGCAUAUUUAUGCGACUUAGUUGGCUUGUUCUUAAGCAUUUAUGUUGUUUUUCUUUAGUUAUUUUAGU
rnacentral:lncRNA from 1 species